GAGACAGCAGCCGCCGCGGGAAUACAGAGGGUGCAAGCGUUAAUCGGAAUUACUGGGCGUAAAGCGCGCGUAGGCGGCUUCUUAAGUCGGAUGUGAAAUCCCUGAGCUUAACUUAGGAAUUGCAUUCGAUACUGGGAAGCUAGAGUAUGGGAGAGGAUGGUAGAAUUCCAGGUGUAGCGGUGAAAUGCGUAGAGAUCUGGAGGAAUACCGAUGGCGAAGGCAGCCAUCUGGCCUAAUACUGACGCUGAGGUACGAAAGCAUGGGGAGCAAACAGGAUUAGAUACCCCGGUAGUCCCUGUCUCUUAUAC
rnacentral:rRNA from 1 species